rnacentral:rRNA from 1 species
UACGUAGGGUGCGAGCGUUGUCCGGAAUUGCUGGGCGUAAAGAGCUCGUAGGUGGUUUGUCGCGUUGUUCGUGAAAACCGGGGGCUUAACCCUCGGCGUGCGGGCGAUACGGGCAGACUUGAGUACUGCAGGGGAGACUGGAAUUCCUGGUGUAGCGGUGGAAUGCGCAGAUAUCAGGAGGAACACCGGUGGCGAAGGCGGGUCUCUGGGCAACAACUGACGCUGAGGAGCGAAAGCGUGGGGAGCGAACAGG